GACUUAACACCUCAGUGUGAAUUAGUUUACCAUCUGAUCCUGUUGUCUCUGAUCUAGGGAGAAGCAGGUUCAGAUAAAGAAAGGAAAAGGAGAGCCUCCACCCCAGGAAUUCUGCAGUGAGUGCCAGGCCAUGGAGGAAGAGGUUGUGUGCCAGAACUUGUGGGCUUAGAAGAGAGACAAAGGAAAGGCCUUUUCCCACCCCCAGAGCUCCCUGAGCUCCCAACAACAUAUGGGAGGGAGUCAACAGCCACCACGGACAGCAAUUCAUACUUUGAGUGGCCUCGUCCAUCUGACUUCCCAAGCCUCAGCCACAGUACCAAGUCCAGGGGAAUUUCAACGGUAGCAUCUCAUAAGAAAAGGCCAUCACCCCACUGGCUAUGAAUUGACUCUUCUUCAGAGGAAAAAGGCCAAUGAUAUCCUGACAACCGGAAAGAAUGCCAUUCUCUUGGCUGAUAGUCUGCAUAUGGAGGAACAACAUUUCACACACAGAUGGAAGGGAAAGUUCAUCUUCCUCAGUAUAACUGCUCCUAUGGCAAAAAAAGGUCAUUUAAUCACAUGGGAGCAGCUAGACAAGAUGAUAAUAUAAAGCAGGAUUCUGUGUGCUUCUAAAUCAUCGGGGCUUUAUCAGCUGCCCCUACACCACUCAAGGAUGGGAAACCCUGAGACGGUUAAACAGAAACAUCAAAGAAUAAAGGAUGGAUGUGCCUGUUGUCCUUUUGUAUA
rnacentral:lncRNA from 1 species